GGUUAAGCGAAUAAGCGUACACGGUGGAUGCCUAGGCAAUCAGAGGCGAUGAAGGACGUGCUAAUCUGCGAAAAGCGUCGGUAAGGUGAUAUGAACCGUUAUACCCGACGAUAUCCGAAUGGGGAAACCCAGUAUCCAAUGGAUACUAUCAUUAACUGAAUCCAUAGGUUAAUGAGGCGAACCGGGAGAACUGAAACAUCUCAGUACCCCGAGGAAAAGAAAUCAACCGAGAUUCCCCUAGUAGCGGCGAGCGAACGGGGAGCAGCCCAGAGUCUUAAUCAAUAGCAGUGUCAGGAGAACGGUCUGGAAAGUCCGGCAGUAAAGGGUGAUAGCCCCGUAUCUGAAGAUGCUGUUAUUGUGAACUCGACGAGUAGGGCGGGACACGUGUUAUCCUGUCUGAAUAUGGGGGGACCAUCCUCCAAGGCUAAAUACUCCUGAUUGACCGAUAGUGAACCAGUACCGUGAGGGAAAGGCGAAAAGAACCCCGGCGAGGGGAGUGAAAAAGAACCUGAAACCGUGUACGUACAAGCAGUAGGAGCCUCUUUAUGGGGUGACUGCGUACCUUUUGUAUAAUGGGUCAGCGACUUAUAUUCUGUAGCAAGGUUAACCGCAUAGGGGAGCCGUAGGGAAACCGAGUCUUAACUGGGCGAAUGAGUUGCAGGGUAUAGACCCGAAACCCGGUGAUCUAUCCAUGGGCAGGUUGAAGGUUGGGUAACACUAACUGGAGGACCGAACCGACUAAUGUUGAAAAAUUAGCGGAUGACUUGUGGAUGGGGGUGAAAGGCCAAUCAAACCGGGAGAUAGCUGGUUCUCCCCGAAAGCUAUUUAGGUAGCGCCUCGUGAACUCAUCUUCGGGGGUAGAGCACUGUUUCGACUAGGGGGUCAUCCCGACUUACCAACUCGAUGCAAACUGCGAAUACCGAAGAAUGUUAUCACGGGAGACACACGGCGGGUGCUAACGUCCGUCGUGAAGAGGGAAACAACCCAGACCGCCAGCUAAGGUCCCAAAGUCAUGGUUAAGUGGGAAACGAAGUGGGAAGGCUCAGACAGCCAGGAUGUUGGCUUAGAAGCAGCCAUCAUUUAAAGAAAGCGUAAUAGCUCACUGGUCGAGUCGGCCCGCGCGGAAGAUGUAACGGGGCUAAACCAUGCACCGAAGCUGCGGCAGCGACACAAAGUGUUGUUGGGUAGGGGAGCGUUCUGUAAGCCUGCGAAGGUGUACUGUGAGGUAUGCUGGAGGUAUCAGAAGUGCGAAUGCUGACAUAAGUAACGAUAAUGCGGGUGAAAAACCCGCACGCCGGAAGACCAAGGGUUCCUGUCCAACGUUAAUCGGGGCAGGGUGAGUCGACCCCUAAGGCGAGGCUGAAAAGCGUAGUCGAUGGGAAACGGGUUAAUAUUCCCGUACUGGUGGUAACUGCGAUGGGGGAACGGAGAAGGCUAGGUUGUCCGGGCGACGGUCGUCCCGGUUCAAGCAGGUAGGCAGAGUGAUUAGGCAAAUCCGGUCACUUAAUGCUGAGAUGUGAUGACGAACCACCAAGGUGGUGAAGCAAUUGAUGCCCCGCUUCCAGGAAAAGCCUCUAAGCUUCAGGUUACCAACAAUCGUACCCCAAACCGACACAGGUGGUCAGGUAGAGAAUACUCAGGCGCUUGAGAGAACUCGGGUGAAGGAACUAGGCAAAAUGGUGCCGUAACUUCGGGAGAAGGCACGCUGGCGGUAGGUAAAGUCCCUCGCGGACAGAGCUGAAGCCAGUCGAAGAUACCAGCUGGCUGCAACUGUUUAUUAAAAACACAGCACUGUGCAAACACGAAAGUGGACGUAUACGGUGUGACGCCUGCCCGGUGCUGGAAGGUUAAUUGAUGGGGUUAGCGCAAGCGAAGCUCCUGAUCGAAGCCCCAGUAAACGGCGGCCGUAACUAUAACGGUCCUAAGGUAGCGAAAUUCCUUGUCGGGUAAGUUCCGACCUGCACGAAUGGCGUAAUGAUGGCCAGGCUGUCUCCACCCGAGACUCAGUGAAAUUGAACUCGCUGUGAAGAUGCAGUGUACCCGCGGCAAGACGGAAAGACCCCGUGAACCUUUACUAUAGCUUGACACUGAACAUUGAGCCUUGAUGUGUAGGAUAGGUGGGAGGCUUUGAAGUGUGGACGCCAGUCUGCAUGGAGCCAACCUUGAAAUACCACCCUUUAACGUUUGAUGUUCUAACCUAGGCCCAUAAACUGGGUCGGGGACCGUGUCUGGUGGGUAGUUUGACUGGGGCGGUCUCCUCCUAAAGAGUAACGGAGGAGCACGAAGGUUGGCUAAGCAUGGUCGGACAUCAUGCGGUUAGUGCAAAGGCAUAAGCCAGCUUGACUGCGAGAGUGACGGCUCGAGCAGGUACGAAAGUAGGUCUUAGUGAUCCGGUGGUUCUGAAUGGAAGGGCCAUCGCUCAACGGAUAAAAGGUACUCCGGGGAUAACAGGCUGAUACCGCCCAAGAGUUCAUAUCGACGGCGGUGUUUGGCACCUCGAUGUCGGCUCAUCACAUCCUGGGGCUGAAGUAGGUCCCAAGGGUAUGGCUGUUCGCCAUUUAAAGUGGUACGCGAGCUGGGUUUAGAACGUCGUGAGACAGUUCGGUCCCUAUCUGCCGUGGGCGUUGGAAGAUUGAGAGGGGUUGCUCCUAGUACGAGAGGACCGGAGUGAACGCACCACUGGUGUUCGGGUUGUCAUGCCAAUGGCAUUGCCCGGUAGCUAAGUGCGGAAGAGAUAACCGCUGAAAGCAUCUAAGCGGGAAACUUGCCUCGAGAUGAGUCUUCCCUGUCGCUUUAAGCGACCUAAAGGAACGUUUAAGACUAAGACGUUGAUAGGCUGGGUGUGUAAGCGUAGCGAUACGUUGAGCUAACCAGUACUAAUGAACCGUGAGGCUUAACCUG
rnacentral:rRNA from 1 species